rfam:Human gut metagenome DNA, contig sequence: F1-T_001196.
UUUUUAGCAUCAGAUCCCGUCGACGAUAAAAAAGUGCAUUGACAAUAACAAAAGUCUCCCACCCCGGGGAGACUUUUUGAGCGGUU